CGGUAAUACGUAGGGUGCAAGCGUUAAUCGGAAUUACUGGGCGUAAAGCGUGCGCAGGCGGUUUUGUAAGACAGGCGUGAAAUCCCCGGGCUCAACCCUGGGAAUGGCGCUUGUGACUGCAAAGCUGGAGUGCGGCAGAGGGGGAUGGGAAUUCCGCGUGUAGCAGUGAAAUGCGUAGAUAUGCGGAGGAACACCGAUGGCGAAGGCAAUCCCCUGGGCCUGCACUGACGCUCAUGCACGAAAGCGUGGGGAGCAAACAGGAUUAGAUACCCUGGUAGUCCACGCCCUAAACGAUGUCAACUGGUUGUUGGGUCUCUUCUAACUCAGUAACGAAGCUAACGCGUGAAGUUGACCGCCUGGGGAGUACGGCCGCAAGGUUGAGACUCAAAGGAAUUGACGGGGACCCGCACAAGCGGUGGAUGAUGUGGUUUAAUUCGAUGCAACGUGAAAAACCCUUACCCACCUUUGACAUGUACGGAACUUACCAGAGAUGGUUUGGUGCUCGAAAGAGA
rnacentral:rRNA from 1 species